ACAGAGGGUGCGAGCGUUAAUCGGAAUUACUGGGCGUAAAGCGUGCGUAGACGGUUGCGUAAGUCAGAUGUGAAAGCCCCGGGCUCAACCUGGGAAUUGCAUUUGAGACUGCGUAGCUAGGGUGCGGAAGAGGGAAGCGGAAUUUCCGGUGUAGCGGUGAAAUGCGUAGAGAUCGGGAGGAAGGCCGGUGGCGAAGGCGGCGCUCUGGAACAUUUCUGACGCUGAGGCUCGAAAGCGUGGGGAGCAAACAGGA
rnacentral:rRNA from 1 species